GUGCCAGCCGCCGCGGUAAGACGAACCGUGCGAACGUUAUUCGGAAUCACUGGGCUUAAAGGGUGCGUAGGCGGGUUGCCAAGUCUGUGGUGAAAUCCUUCGGCUUAACCGAAGAACUGCCGUGGAUACUGGCGACCUCGAGGGGGAUAGGGGCUUGCGGAACUGUGCGUGGAGCGGUGAAAUGCGUUGAUAUGCACAGGAACUCCGGUGGCGAAAGCGGCGAGCUGGAUCCCUUCUGACGCUGAGGCACGAAAGCUAGGGGAGCGAACGGGAUUAGAAACCCCGGUAGUCC
rnacentral:rRNA from 1 species